GAUGAACGCUGGCGGCGUGCUUAACACAUGCAAGUCGAACGGUGAAGGCGGAGCUUGCUCUGCUGGAUCAGUGGCGAACGGGUGAGUAACACGUGAGCAAUCUGCCCCUGACUCUGGGAUAAGCGCUGGAAACGGCGUCUAAUACUGGAUACGAGCUGCGAAGGCAUCUUCAGCAGCUGGAAAGAAUUUCGGUCAGGGAUGAGCUCGCGGCCUAUCAGCUUGUUGGUGAGGUAAUGGCUCACCAAGGCGUCGACGGGUAGCCGGCCUGAGAGGGUGACCGGCCACACUGGGACUGAGACACGGCCCAGACUCCUACGGGAGGCAGCAGUGGGGAAUAUUGCACAAUGGGCGAAAGCCUGAUGCAGCAACGCCGCGUGAGGGACGACGGCCUUCGGGUGGUAAACCUCUUUUAGCAGGGAAGAAGCGAAAGUGACGGUACCUGCAGAAAAAACGCCGGCUAACUACGU
rnacentral:rRNA from 1 species